UACGUAGGGUGCAAGCGUUGUCCGGAAUUAUUGGGCGUAAAGAGCUCGUAGGCGGUUUGUCGCGUCUGCUGUGAAAACUCAGGGCUUAACCCUGAGCCUGCAGUGGGUACGGGCAGACUAGAGUGUGGUAGGGGAGAUCGGAAUUCCUGGUGUAGCGGUGGAAUGCGCAGAGUAUCAGGAGGAACACCGGUGGCGAAGGCGGAUCUCUGGGCCAUAACUUGACGCUGAGGAGCGAAAGCAUGGGGAGCGAACAGG
rnacentral:rRNA from 1 species